UUAUCUGAAGUAUGUCCCAGGAGGUCGGAGCGGCUCCUGUUCCCCUCCCGGAGGAGCCGGGCCUGAACUAAUCGUCAGCGAGAAAGGAGAGAAGAGGGGGAGAGCACGUCUGUGUUCCAGGUGGCAAAGCAGCUCUGUAAUCCUACUAAAUUGCACUUUUCCUCUUCGUUGUGCAACACCCCACCUCUGCCGGCCAUAAACAGGAUAGGAUUUCACACCUGGCCAGUAAUCAUCUUUUAAAAAAAGAGCCCCUUUUUUCCUCCAGCGCCUCCAGUCAGCCUUCCACCCUGUGCAGAAGGCGAGGUGCGAGCACGCCACCUCCGGCCUGCACACAAUGGACGCGGAAAGGCGCUUUGAGGGAAGGCGGGUUGGGGUGGAGGGGGCGCCCCGGUGGUGAAUGGGCCGUGAUAAAAACACUUCAAAGUGCUUCCCGGAUCCACGGAGAUGCUGCUGACACAUGAGGCGCCUUUCAAUGGGGGCACAAAAGCAGCGUCUAAUGCACACACAUGCACGGGAUGGACUAGUGCUGCUGACAGGCAAGACCAGGGGUGGGCAAACUUUAAAGCUACAGGGGCAAAUUUUGAUUACUAAACAGAUGGUCCAGAUCAUCAAAAACAAGUUAAGUGGGGAAAGAGAAGUGACACUGUUCUUAUUCUAUUUAUUUAUUAUUAUUUCUUGACUUGUAAAAAGUAUAAUUUAAUUAACCAACUACUUGAAAAAUACAUAAAAAAUAUUUCUCUACUUUUUAUUGUAACAAGAUUUUUUCCUUUCAUGUGCCAAUUAUUUAGUAAUUAUAUGUAAAAACACAAGUAUUCAUUUUUAAACAGUUAAGGUAUUGUUCAAUAAAAUAGAAACAGAAAUGUCAAAUACAUAGGUACAAUUGUUUAUUUUACAAAUAUUUAAUUUAAUUUAAAACAAAUUAAUUCAACAUUAUAGUAAAUGUUAAAAUUGUUUACUUUCCAAGUAUUUCUCUUUAUAUUUACAAUUAGCUAAUGAAUUAAUGAAAAUGAAAAACAAAACUUUAAAUCAAUUCUUAAUUAAACUUUUAUGACUUACAAUAAAACAAUUAUCCAAUUAUUUACAGGAACACGUGAAGAAAAUAUGGAUAUAAUACGAAAGUAAACAUUAAGUAUAUUGUCAUUACACUAUUAUGUGAAUGCUUGGUGGGGCGGAUUUAAAGAACGGAGCGGACCAUGUGUGGGCCCCCAGGCCAUACUUUACCCAUCCCCGCAAGACCCAUUUAGAGGCUAGAUGCAAAUAUCGCUUGUCACAUAACAAAAUAUGUGCAGCGCCAGCUUCUAAUUUACGGUCAUUAAAUCAGAUAGCACUCAUAAAUAAGCAUUAAACACCUGCCAGGCUUUCUCUCUCUAUUAUACGGUUUAUUGAAGUGUAUGCGUGUGUGUAUAUAUGUAAUAUGUCGUCCCCAAAAGGGUUUUCUUACAGAGUUUUCUCUUCUCAUGCGGCUUGUUUAUCUUCUCCGCGUCUGGCUGGAAUGAAAGUCCCAGUGUAUUCCUUGCCAAAGAUUCCGCGAUGCCAUUUAACUCCUCGACGUAUCCACCCCGAUUAUUUUAAUCCUUUUUCUACCUCUCCCCGAUCUUGUGCAGCUCCGUAGCUCCGCGGAGCAAGCGCCGGUGUUUUAGUGGUGGCUCCCCCGCUCAAAGAGACGUAGCUGAGGGAAAAUUAUGAGCGCAGCCCCGGCGCUAUGGCCAAACCGGCUCCGUACCCCGGAGCCAAUCAAUCAAGGCUGCCUCCGCGCAUAUUCCCACGGUUCGGCCAAUCAGGGGACGAAAGAGGCGGGUCUAGGGCUGUGACGUCACCCUGUCAAACGAAGCACGUUGCUGUUUCGCGGAAACGCUUAAAGGGGAAGGAAGCGUAAAUCAUGACGGGUAAAAAAAAAUCUAAAGUUUGUGUUAAAAGGCAGUGUCACUUCUACUUAAGUUUUAAGGCUGUAUUCCACUGUAAGUAAUAAUAAUAAAUUAGUCGGCUUGUCCCUUUUGUGGGUUGUUUUUGACCCAAUUGUUUUAAGCGCAUGUAUGAGGCAACCGCAAACAUUCAUUUUCGAUUGAUUAAGUAACAACCAGUCCAGUGCACCCUGCCUUAAUUGCCAAAUCAAAUUUAAGCAGUUUGAUUCAAGACUUUCAUAGUUGAUAAUGUGACUGAAUGGUUGGUAAGUUAUAUGUGCCCUGCGAUUUUCUUGCAAAUUUGAUAGAGACAGGUGCUUUAAAAAAUGUCUGUGGAUGAAAAUAUUACAGGCAAGAUGUCCAAAUAUUAAGGUGUUUACAGUUUCUUCUUUCUCUAUGUUGCACUUUUUUUUUAAAUUUUAGAACUGUUAUUUUUUUAACCUGCGCGCGCAGGGAAUAAAACAUGUUAUCGGCCACCUUGAAUUUUUGUCAUGGCCAAGAGGUUGCUAGGCAACCCGAGGACCUUCCCUCCAGGCCAGUCACCACACCCGGCCUUGAAAGUGCCCCAUACAUAACAUUCUUGUUUGGCCUCUUAUUGAGGGAUAAAUGAGAAAAUCAAUACGCCUCUUGUACCUGCCUCCUUUAAGACACAGACUGCAAGGCUGGCAGGCAACAUUUGCUGUUGUCAUACAAGUUUAUUUCCUGGGCAUUACCUCUUAAAAGUGAUUU